rnacentral:rRNA from 1 species
GUGUCAGCAGCCGCGGUAACACCGGCCGCUCGAGUGGUAGCCGCGUUUAUUGGGCCUAAAGCGUCCGUAGCCGGUCCGAUAAGUCUCUGGUGAAAGCCCACAGCUCAACUGUGGGAAUCGCUGGAGAUACUAUCGGACUUGAGGCCGGGAGAGGCUGGAGGUACUCCCAGGGUAGGGGUGAAAUCCUAUAAUCCUGGGAGGACCACCUGUGGCGAAGGCGUCCAGCUGGAACGGACCUGACGGUGAGGGACGAAAGCUAGGGGAGCGAACCGGAUUAGAUACCCGGGUAGUCCUAGCCGUAAACGAUGGGUGCUAGGUGUUGGGACGGCUUUGAGCUGUCCCAGUGCCGAAGGGAAGCUGUUAAGUCCGCCGCCUGGGAAGUACGGCCGCAAGGCUGAAACUCAAAGGAAUUGGCGG